UACGGGGGGAGCAAGCGUUGUUCGGAUUUACUGGGCGUAAAGGCGCGUAGGCGGUCAGCACAAGUCAGUUGUGAAAUCUCCGGGCUUAACUCGGAAAGGUCAACUGAUACUGUGCGACUAGAGUGCGGAAGGGGCAACUGGAAUUCUCGGUGUAGCGGUGAAAUGCGUAGAUAUCGAGAGGAACACCUGCGGCGAAGGCGGGUUGCUGGGCCGACACUGACGCUGAUGCGCGAAGCCAGGGGAGCGAACGGG
rnacentral:rRNA from 1 species